UACGUAUGGUGCAAGCGUUAUCCGGAUUUACUGGGUGUAAAGGGAGUGCAGGCGGCACGGCAAGCCUGAUGUGAAAGCCCGCGGCCCAACCGCGGGACUGCAUUGGGAACUACCGGGCUGGAGUGCCGGAGAGGUAGGCGGAAUUCCUAGUGUAGCGGUGAAAUGCGUAGAUAUUAGGAGGAACACCAGUGGCGAAGGCGGCCUACUGGACGGUGACUGACGCUGAGGCUCGAAAGCGUGGGGAGCAAACAGG
rnacentral:rRNA from 1 species